GGCUCAGGAUGAACGCUAGCGGCAGGCUUAACACAUGCAAGUCGAGGGGCAUCGGGAGUAGCAAUACUGCCGGCGACCGGCGCAAGGGUGCGUAACGCGUGAGCAACAUGCCCGUAUCAGGGGGGAUAAUCCAUGGAAACGUGGUCUAAUACCCCAUAGUAAUUAUGUAAGGCAUCUUAUAUAAUUUAAAGCUUUGGUGGAUACGGAUUGGCUCGCGUGACAUUAGCUGGAUGGUAAGGUAACGGCUUACCAUGGCUACGAUGUCUAGGGGUUCUGAGAGGAAGGUCCCCCCACACUGGAACUGAGACACGGUCCAGACUCCUACGGGAGGCAGCAGUGAGGAAUAUUGGACAAUGGAUGGAAAUCUGAUCCAGCCAUGCCGCGUGCAGGGAAAGACGGCCCUAUGGGUUGUAAACUGCUUUUGUAUGGGAGCAAUAAGGGCUACGUGUAGUCCGAUGAGAGUACCAUACGAAUAAGCACCGGCUAACUCCGUGCCAGCAGCGGC
rnacentral:rRNA from 1 species